UCUAGUGCACCAGAUUUAGACUUCAUGUCACAAGUGUAAUGGGAGGUGCUAACUGAAGAAAGGAGCCCAGACACAUUGGAGAGUGGUUGGCUUCGAUUGCAGCAGGACUACGUGCAGUAGAGCCAUGAUUAGGACAUUCAUAGGCAGGUUCAGGUUGUAGGUUAGGACUAUCUGUGCAAUGCAUGAUGGGGAGUAGGAGGUUGCGAAGGUCCCUGAAUUACUGUGAAGAAUAGUCCUAUAUUCCUGGAGCCCAGCUGUUUUUCCCUAUACUCAACAUACUCAACUGAAUUAGGGUGAAUCUCAAUAAAAUUCUAGGCCUUCGUUUCGGGUUCUUGGAAUGACACAAGCAGUAUAAUAUGAGAACAUCUGUUUAUGGCUAAAACCGGAGGUCUUUCCUUGCAGCCAAGUUAAAAAGCUCAGUUGAUGGGAUGCGCUUCCUGCCACCUUUAACCUCUCCUCACAUAAAUUUAUCCGCUAGUCUUACAUGCAGCCAUAACGUAAUUUGAACGGUCCGAAUGAUAGCAGUCAUCAGUUUUCUGUGCGUGGCAAGGCCUUGCAGUGCUGAUGCUGAGGUCUGUCGGGCUGAGCCCUUUAUUAAUAAUUGCUCUCCCUCUGGUCAUAUUCCUGCUGCUGCUGUCUCUUGCUGUUGAGAUCUCCCUGCUAAGCCCCCCCCCCCAUACUUCACUCUUUGGCAGCCUUGGGACAUCCUCGUUGGGGCUGCUUUGUGUCUGUCCCAGCACUUCAGACGUUGCAGCGAUCUUCUAUAUUGGCAUCGAAGGCUGAAAUGUAAUACCCUUGUCGUUACAACACCCUGUCCAGAAUGUACCCCAGCCCUGUGGCCCGUGCUCCCUGGGAUAGGCUUCAGUGCCCACCCCCCCAUGUUUAAGUGACUAGAAGAUAGAUGGAUAGGUUUCUUUAUCCUUGGCUGCACAUACUCCCCUGGCAUUCAGCAAGAAGCAAUCUGAUUGUACCCCCCCCCACCAUUAUCCAGUUUAUUUUGACCGCCUGUGGUUCUUUUUGCUGCCGCAAGGGUUGUCUGGUACCUUGGCAGAACCUUUUUUAUGCUCGGUCAUCUUCAUUUCCAUGGCCCCUGGGGCUCUGCCUUUUAUAGGCUGAAAUGACAUCAUCAAGACAGUUGUGGGUCCAGUUGGAGGCGCUGCUGCUGUUCAUUUCACCUGCACACAGCUUCGGGGGAUUUUUUUUGGCCUACCUUUCACUCCUUCUCCACACUCCAUUCAUCUCAGCUUCAUUAGCGGUGCUGCUCAUCUGUUAGUCCAUUGUGUGGAACACCAGUUUGACCUUUACACCUGUCAUGCAUCACUGCUUAUCCCACCAACAGCUGUAGUUAAACCAACAGCUCACUGGCUUUGAAUCAUUAACAUUUCAGUAUGGGAUCUGCAGUUGUAUUUUAGGAAUGAAAAAUUUCUAGUGUUUGCAUGGAUGGUUUGCUAAGAAUACAUCUUAAUUCGUGGUAUAUGACUUGCUUAUAUUAUUAUGUGAGUGUUAUAUUGCUGUCAAGGUUUCCCACUGGACAAUAACCGAAGACAAAUAUGUUACAUCGUUAUACUUCUCAUUCAGUGUCCAUCUCCGUCCAUCCAUCAUUCAUGAGAACUUACCCAGCAGAGUGUCAUGAUGAGUGUGGGGGCCCAUCCCAGGAAACACAGGCACACCCUGUUUUUGGACUCUGGGAGGAAAUCCACAAGAACAUGGGAGAACAUGCAAACUGCAGACACACGGAGUUGGGAUUUGAACCCCCAAACCCCCUGGGGUUUGAGGUCACCCACUGAUUGACUAUGCUGCCCCCAAUAUUAUUAUAACAUUAUGUUUUUUUUGCAGGGUGACAUGGUGGUGCAGUGCUUAGUACUGUUGCCUCGUAUCUCUGGGACUAGGGUUCGAGUCCUUGGCAUGGCUCUGUGUGCAUGUUCCCCCCAUGUCGUCAUGGGUAUUUUUCUGGGUACUCAGUGGGUUUCCUUCCACUGAGGCUGACUGAAGUUACCAAAGGGCCCUGUGAUGGGUUGGUGCCCCUGUCCUGGGUUGUUCCCUGCAUUGCCCCCCCCCCCCCCCAAUAGACUCUGGACCCCCCUGUGAUUCUGAAUGGAAUCAGUGGUUACAGAUGGGUGGGCUGAUUCUUAUUUAUGCAUUUUAUUUAUCUCAUUUUCCCAUACAGCAUUUUGAAUGACCUUUAUGUAUGAAAAUGCUCUUCACAAAUAAACUUGACAUGACUUUACUAUGGCGAUAUGCCAGUGACCCUGCAUGGCGAUGUAUCAAAUCAAAACCAAAUUACAGUUUUAUUUGUUACUUAGACAAUUAUACUCAGUGCCAUGUGCAGUGAAAUGCUAGGUUGCCUAACUCCAAGACUGUGAAACAGGGAACUUAAGAGACAAAACCUUAACCUUCAAACCAUAAUCAUGACCAUAAAUAGGAUGCAGUUAGAAGUUGUUAAUUGUCAGGUGGCAGUACAACUUUCAGAUGAACAAAUAAAUAUUUACAUGUGCAAAUGUAUCAUGGGAGUCUAUUUACAGUCCUUUUACAGUACAUUGACAGUACCUCUACAGUAAAUACUGACAGAAUUAGCAGAAGAUACAGCAGAAUAUGCUGUAUGACGCCAUUAUCUGGGAAGCGGACGAGCUGCUGGCAUGUGUUUGAGAAACCCGGAGGAACACCACUCGACUUGGAAUUCAUGCAGCUGGUCGGCUGAAAAACAUGUGAAUGGACUAUUCAUAUAUCCUCCAUCCUGCUGCACGAGGCCUUAGCAUUUCCCAUUAAUCAAGGGCUCAGGGCCUCGGAGGGGCAGAAACAGUGGGAAUAGCAGCAGACCCUACAAAGAAGCAACCGGAAUCCCGAAGAGGCUCCCGGCCAGAGAUUGAAGGAAUUAUCAUUAGGACUUCCUGCUGGAAAUUAUAUGCCACAACAUGCCCUUAAACCCUUGAGACUCCCAUGACAGCUAAAUUUCCAGCAGGACUGGAGCUGUGAGAGCUGCUCGAUUCCUC